UCCAAUGUCUGAUUACUCUCUCUGUAAAAAAUUUCUUCCUGAUAUCCAACCUAAACCUCCCCUGGCACAGCUUAAGCCCAUGCCCUCUUUUCCUUGUGCUGGUUGCCUGGGAGAAGAGACCGACGCCCACCUGGCUACAAUCUCCUUUCAGGGAGUUGUAGAGUGUGACAAGACAUAGUAACUUGUCCUUCAAAAUCACCCAGCGUUCCCAAAUACCUGAGAACUUCUGUGUGCAUUUGUGAUUCAUGGGCAGUUUUUUUGUUUGUUUAAUUCCCAGCUACUGCUCAGUGAGGAUGCUACAGCUAUUCCAAUUUAUAUAUGAAGUUCUUUGCAUCUGCAAGGUAAUCACUGAAGACUCCCAGCUCUUUGUAGCUUACUUAAUAGGAAGGGUUGACCCUUUAUUAUAUAAAAUGCUUUAAAUUAAAGAAAUUUGGUCUGAUUCUACCUCAUUGCUUUAGCAUUUUGUAGUGCUUAAGUGUUCCUGCUCUUGUAAUAUUCUAUGUCAUGCAGCAUUUUUUCCCUCAGGAAAAGGCAAUUCUGUGUUCCAAUCUACAGUUUUAGGCAUCGGCCUUCUGAUAAAAAGGGCUGGCUUGGAACAUUGUGCCUCUGCAGAGAUCCCAGUGACUUCAUAAAACCUUCUUAGCAGAUCCUUGUAAAUAACCAGAAAAUAGUUACUUCUCAUACAGGAUACAUUUUUAUUGCAUUUCCUUUCCAAAGCAAGCUGGAUAACCUAAGAAGGUUUUUGUUUCCUCUGUUAGUUUAGUGCCAUUUUGUCAGCAUGUAUUAUCUACAGAUUUUGCUAGAAGUUGAGUACUGUAUGGAGCCUCUUAUCUUGGUCAUUGUUAGUUUCUAAAGUUAUCACUAAAUCACCUUUUUUUCUUUGAAUGUCCUUAAAUUGUGAAAAAAGUGAUGUUGGAUGUGUGUAAAAAGACUGCCUUUAAAUACCUCUGGAAAAUUUUAUGUAAAGCUAGUCUAAGUGCAUUUUUAAAUCUGAAUGCCGGGUAGCUGAUAAUGGUUUUUCAUUGCUCUGUUGUGCUUGUAAGAUAUGAGUCCGUGCUUAAGCCGACAUCAGCCAAGUGAUUUUGGCUCCUUAUUAAUGAUGUGUUACUCACAUAACAAACAUGCUGUUUGGAGGAAUGUCUGUGCUGCCUAUGCAAAGGAUGUCUGCUUAACUCUGCAAGUACGAUCACAUGAACAUAAUUGUGGGGUUUUUUCUGCCUAGAAUAUAACUUUUAAAAUAGUUUGUAGUAAUUUCUAGUACAACAAAUUUUAGUAUUUUCAUCAGUUCAUGGUGCCUGGUACUGACACUGGCACAUAACUGAGAUGACAUCUCUUGUAGUGUUUUAUUAUGUUCCACAGCUUAACUGCAUUGAGUCCCCUUUAUUUUUAGAAAGCUGAGACCUAAUUUGUCACUCCAGUGUAAGAAAAAAUAUUCUUGGACUAACUUAAACUUUCAGUUAUUUCCUCCCCCCCUUUUCUCCAAUACUUUUGCUUAUUGCUGCCUAAUACUGCUAAGACAUUUUGUUUUAUAGAGACCUUCUGUUAUGGCAUUUAUCUGUUCAUGCCUAACCCUGUUUAUGUUUAUCAGUGUAGAAAUGCUGGAUUUCUCAAUGUUUCCCAAACAUUUUUGGAUGCUUUUCAGGCAUUUUGAGGGCUAAAAAUCUAUUAUGUACUUGAUUCCUAUCUUUAAAGUACCUUCUCUUCUGACCAGUUACUGGAAACUGAGUCUAAAACACCUGUUCACUACAUAUGUCCUCUGACAUUUUGUUAUUAAUUCAUAACAUUGAUGUUUUAUCCCUGCAUUGCACUGCCUCUUUCAAUAUUUCUCUGUUUGCUUCUACUAAAUCUUUUUCUGGGGUCAUCUGAAGCAUGACAUAAUUAAAAUACUACUCUCAAAGGAAUUUGAAGCUCUCUUCUUGAUUUUCUAGGUAUCAAACAAGUACAUAAAGUUAUGUUUCUCUUCACUUGAAAACUUGGAAUUCAAAAUUUAUCCACCCACUUGAUUCUUGUCCCUCUUCUAUGCAAAAGGAAAUCCAUUUGAAAGUUAGUUUGGGACUUCUGUUUUCUGUUGCUCUUGUUCCUUGGAAUUGAAAACUUAAAUUGCAUAAAAUUCACAAUGUUAAGUCUACUCUGGCACUUUAUAUGCAAUUUGGGGCACUUACCCUUUUAGACUGUGUAUCUAGUAGCUGUUAAGUGUUCCAGACCAUGUUAGUUCAUUGCUGUGGAUAGUAUACAGUUGGGUGCAUCUUACUGAUUGAUUUUUGGUUUUUAAAUGUCUCACUACAAGUCUCCUCAGGCCUUGCUUGCCUGCAUGCCUUUAGAAAACUCUGUUUCAGUCAAUUAUCAAAAAUCUUGUCCGUAAUUCAGGGUAUCACAGAAUUGUUAGGGUUGGAAGGGACCUCUGGAGACCAUCCAGUCCAACCCCCCCCACCAGGCAGGGUCACCUAGAGCAGGUGACACAGAAAUGCAUCCAGAUGGGUUUUGAUGGUCCCUCCAGAGAGGGAGACUCCAUGACCUUCCUGGGCAGCCUGUUCCAGUGCUCUAGAAGAGGAAUUCCAACCAUUUAAAUCGCAGUUCGAUUUAUCCUGAUGCCUUCAUGAAAAGAAUUCUUUUCACUGCCCCUAGUAGUUAGCCCUGAAUUAAAAACGGAAGAUGCUUUUAAGACGGGCCUUUUCUGUGUGCCACUGCUGAUGUUUUGCAGAUUCUGGGUACCACCACCAGGAGGCAGCCUUGUCCAGGAACGAGACUGGAUCUGUCAGAGAUCCUCGAGGACUUGGCUGUGUGGUCAAAUUUAACCAAGAGACGGGAGUAAGCUGCAGUUCUUUGCUUCAGUUUUUCCUCACGACUACAAUGAAGGCAGCAGUUACACAUCCACCCAUCUCUCCCUCCCCACCCUUCCAGCUAUUCAGUCCUGUAGGAAAGUUCUCUUCUUGUCCGUUGCUGUUGUAUUGGGUCUGAACUUCAUCUGUCAUGUCCAAGUUCUGUUGUACCAGAGUAAAUCGUUGUGGCAGGUCCAUUAUAAGUCACAGUACUGACUGCUGUUUAAAGCCAGCACUGCAUUUCUCAGUUACUCCAGUCUUUAUGAAUUUUAGCAGCUGCUCUGCUGUAAUUUCUCAAGUGCUCAUUCCAUCCUCCAAACCAAUACAAAGUUAUAAAAGACAAAAUAGAUGUAGACUGCAUUCCUCAUCUGUAAUAGAGGAUGUAUAUUUUAUUUUAAUGCUACAGUAUAGUAAAAGUGACUUAAAGCAAACCCACUAGUAACCAGAAUAAAGAAACAAAUCGUGUACCCACAAUACAUAAAAGUUGGAUUUGUCUCCAGGAUUGAGACAGCUACUAAUUAGACAUCAAAGCCUGAGUUAAUCUUUGUAGGCUCCCCUUAUAGUCAAUUGACGUGGAAAAAAUACCUACAUAAGGCAGUUGAUCUUAUUUUAACAUUUUAUUGUAUAGACUAUGUCACACAGUUGUUCUCUGGAGGUACAUUUUCCUUCUCUGUGAAGGGAGGAUGAAGAUGAGAUUCAGAUGUCUGUAUUGGGGUAAAUGAAAGCAGUCUUACUACUUUUUUUUUUUAAUUUAGGAGAGUAUCUAUGUAAAAGGAAAAUACUUCUCUUAAAAUUUGGAUAGAACUAUUUUUGCUGUGUCUGCUAGCCUUCAACAGUGUGUAGCCCGUAUAUAGGAAAUCUUGCUUUUCUAUAUAGAGUAAUUCACAUACAUUUAAUUUGUCACUUUGAAUAAAUUGUGUGUAGGUUUUUAAUCUCCCUUCAUAUUUAAUCAACCCUCCAAUGCUAAAAGAUAAUAAUUAAGCUAUUUUGUUUGUUUCGCUCAGUGUGUAGUCACGGGAGAAAUAAGAUAUGUAUCUUAGUAGCACCUCUUCUAAAAUGAGCUCAUGAUUGUAACUGUUACUUCGAGGUACUUCUAGAAAAAUUACACAAUAAAUUAUGGUUUACUGAGCAA